GCUUUGAAUAUGUGAAAGAAGAAAAAGAGUGCUGUGGAACAUGUAAACAAUAUUGCUGUAUUUACAAUGCACCAGACAAGACCACACCUAAACUCAAGGUUCAAGAGGAAUACAAGUUUAAAUGUACGACCGGUACCUGCAAAGAAGUUAAUGGCUCCCUUGCGAUUGUGGAGAGCAUUAAAACAUGCCCUUACAUUAAUCCAAAUGAAUGUGUACCUGGAACAAUAAAAGAUGACACAGAUGGAUGUUGC